AAUUGUUGGGAGAAAAAACUAUCACACUGUUGUUUUUUGAUCUACAAAUUAAUUAUGUGGUUAUUUGGAUUAAAAGGUGCCUCUGGUUUCUCUGCUUCAUCUACAGCUGAAGAAGUUACUCAAGGAAUUGAUGCUAAUGGACUCACUGCCAUUGUUACAGGAGCAUCUAGUGGUAUUGGUGCAGAAACAACGCGUGUUCUUGCAAUGCGAGGUGCGCAUGUAGUAAUGGCAGUUCGUAAUGUUAAAAGUGGCGAAGAAGUUAAGGAUAGUAUUCUUAAAGAGAUUCCUCAUGCCAAAAUUGAUGUAAUGGAGAUGGAUCUCGGUUCUAUGGAAUCCGUUAGGAAGUUUGCAUCGGAAUAUAACUCUACUGGUUAUCCUCUGAACAUUCUAAUCAACAAUGCAGGGGUUAUGGCUCCACCGUUCAUGCUUUCUCAAGACAAUAUUGAAUUACAGUUUGC
rnacentral:misc_RNA from 1 species